rnacentral:rRNA from 1 species
GACGAACGCUGGCGGCGUGCUUAACACAUGCAAGUCGAACGGAAAGGCCCUGCUUUUGUGGGGUGCUCGAGUGGCGAACGGGUGAGUAACACGUGAGUAACCUGCCCUUGACUUUGGGAUAACUUCAGGAAACUGGGGCUAAUACCGGAUAGGAGCUCCUGCUGCAUGGUGGGGGUUGGAAAGUUUCGGCGGUUGGGGAUGGACUCGCGGCUUAUCAGCUUGUUGGUGGGGUAGUGGCUUACCAAGGCUUUGACGGGUAGCCGGCCUGAGAGGGUGACCGGCCACAUUGGGACUGAGAUACGGCCCAGACACCUACGGGAGGCAGCAGUGGGGAAUAUUGCACAAUGGGCGGAAGCCUGAUGCAGCAACGCCGCGUGCGGGAUGACGGCCUUCGGGUUGUAAACCGCUUUCGCCUGCGACGAAGCGUGAGUGACGGUAAUGGGUAAAGAAGCACCGGCUAACUACGUG